CAUCAGAGAGUAGUGACUUGACCUUAGUGUCUUUAGUGUGCUCCCACAUUGAGCUCUACUUUUUGGGUCCAUGCACCUACUUAUUUCUAAACAUCUAGAGCGCAACAAUACCCCUGCCUCCUGAUAUGCCAUAUAACCUGUAUCUCUCCAAGUGUGUGUGUGUGUGUGUGUGAGAGAGAGAAUGUGUGCACGCAGAUAUAAGAAGUUGGGGUUGAUGAUCCACAUGAUGGUGAUGGACCAGGACAGCUCUGGACCUCCUGACUGGCAGCUCCAUCCUCAACCUCUCUUCCUGCCCUUCACACAUGUGCAGGCAGCCAGUUUUCUGAAAGAUGGUUGAUGUCAGUACCAACAUGUUGUGAUGGGGGCUUCCACCUGAGCUGAACACAGAAACUUGCACACAGUGUUGGAAGCAGUCGUUCCUGCUCAGCAUCGAUAUGCCAGUAAUGGGUUUGAUGAGCCACAGCAUGGUGAUGGGCAAUCAGCAUCAGGACCAGGGCAGCUCACAAGGAGAACCUCCUGCCCUGCCUCGUCAUCCUCAACCUCCCAUCUCCCUGCUCUUCACACAUGUGCAGGCACGGAGCCAGUUUUCAGAGGGAGGGCUGAUGACACCAGCAACUUUGGUGAACCUGAUCAACCCAGCACCAACCACUGUGCCCCUCCUCCUCUGCCAACUGCACCACAUGGCUCCACCAUCUCAAAAAGGCACAGACACUACUCCUACUACUUCCUGCGAAGGAUGAGAGAAGAGCCGACCGCCCCACAUCGGCACUCACCACCUUCUACAGGGGUGUCAUUGAGAGCAUCCUGACCAGCAGCCUCUCUGUCUGGCAUGGCAGCCGUCAAGCUGAAGACUAGAAGGCAGUACAGAGAGUGUGGUGAGAACGGCAGAAAAGCUCAUAAGAUCACCCCUACCAGCCAUUCAGGAUCUGUACACUUCACACUGUUCCAAGAGGGCAAUGAACAUCAUAAAGACACAACUCAUCCAGCAUACAGACUGUUCUCCCUACUACACAAGCACACUGGGAAACGGCUUCUUUCCACAAGCCAUCAGACUCCUCAACGCACUGAAGAAAACCACAUGAAUAUUCCAAGGACACUGGAGAAUAUUCCAUGAACACUUCUUUCACCAUGCCACUUACACUUUACUCAUUGCUCCUUAUAUACAGCAUCUUCACAUCACCUGUAUGAUCUCUUCCUGUCGUGUGUGUGUGUGUGUCCACUGUGUUUGUGUAUUUAUUGUCCAUCAGUAUGUUAAUCUUCUUAUUGCACACUGUUUGUGUCUCUGUGUGACUGUAUUUAUUGUAUGUAUCAGUCUGUAUUUCAUGUCAAUGCAUUAUUUUUAGUUAUUAGUUAAACUGCACAUUGGAGACUGGUCAAACACAAUUUCAAACUUUGUGUUAACCCUCCAUAGAUUUUUAUUUAAAAAAUGGAGUCUAAUCUACUGUACUACACAGGCUAUCAACAGACCACACAGUUGAGUGCUGUUUUAUGCACUCUGAAUAUGAGAAGGAGAGGUAACCGUUCACACUUCAUAGUGUAAAAGUAAACAGAAAUACAUUUUCACAUUUCAUUCCUGUCUCGUUCACUUCUUUCAGCAAUGUAUGUGGCCUACAUGCAGGGAAGCUGACAGGGGGGGCAAAGGGGUCCGUUGACCUGGGCCCAGUGAGACGAGGGGUCCAGGAAUGGGUCCUCAUUACAUCAUACCUGCAAACUCGUCACCUUUUGGUGACAGUCACCUUUUUCCUGUCCAAUUAGGUCAUUCACGUGAAUAGAAAUAGAACCCCAGCUCUACACUGUCACCUUUUUUUCUUUGACGAGUUUGCAGGUCUGUUACAUUGUAUGUAGUCUAUGUAUUGAGUGGGGGGCCCUUUCAGAUGACUUUGUCCUGGGCACAGCCAAAGCUGUCAGCGGUCCUGAUUAUGUACGCACAAACACUGGUUAUGAUGGUAGGAAAAAUGUUCUCUGUUUUCUGAUGGCCUUUGAAUUAAG